rnacentral:rRNA from 1 species
GAUGAACGCUGGCUACAGGCUUAACACAUGCAAGUCGAGGGGAAACGACGGGGAAGCUUGCUUCCCCGGGCGUCGACCGGCGCACGGGUGAGUAACGCGUAUCCAACCUGCCUCUGACUGAGGGAUAACCCGUCGAAAGUCGGCCUAAUACCUCAUGGUAUCGUCUGCGGGCAUCCAACGACGAUUAAAGAUUUCAUCGGUCAGGGAUGGGGAUGCGUCUGAUUAGCUUGUUGGCGGGGUAACGGCCCACCAAGGCUACGAUCAGUAGGGGUACUGGGAGAAGGGUCCCCCGCAUUGGAACUGGGCCACGGCCCAAACUCCAAGGGGAGGCGGAGGUGGGGAUAAUGGGGCAGGGGGGGGGACCCUGAACCGGCCAGUUAGGGUGCAGGAGGACGGCCUUGUGGGUUGAAAAUUGCUUUAAUGCGGGGAAAAGGUGUGGGACGGGGCCUCAUUGCAGGUACCGCAUGAAUAAGGACCGGCUAAUUCCGUG